GGAAGUGCAGCUCAGCAAUAGAGCACGUCCUUAGCAUGCACGAGGUCCUGGGUUCAAUCCCCAGUACCUCCA
rnacentral:tRNA from 1 species